UAAUACGUAGGGUGCGAGCGUUGUCCGGAAUUAUUGGGCGUAAAGAGCUCGUAGGCGGUUUGUUGCGUCGGUCGUGAAAACCUGGGGCUUAACCCUGGGCCUGCGAUCGAUACGGGCAGACUUGAGUUCGGUAGGGGAGACUGGAAUUCCUGGUGUAGCGGUGAAAUGCGCAGAUAUCAGGAGGAACACCGGUGGCGAAGGCGGGUCUCUGGGCCGAUACUGACGCUGAGGAGCGAAAGCGUGGGGAGCGAACAGGAUUAGAUACCCUGGUAGUCCACGCCGUAAACGGUGGGUGCUAGGUGUGGGGAACAUUCCACGUUCUCCGUGCCGUAGCUAACGCAUUAAGCACCCCGCCUGGGGAGUACGGCCGCAAGGCUA
rnacentral:rRNA from 1 species